rnacentral:rRNA from 1 species
UGGGGAAUAUUGCACAAUGGGGGAACCCUGAUGCAGCCAUGCCGCGUGUGUGAAGAAGGCCUUCGGGUUGUAAGCACUUUCAGCGAGGAGGAAAGGUUGGCGCCUAAUAUGCUGUCAACUGUGACGUUACUCUGAGAAAAAAGCACCGGCUAACUCCGUGC